rnacentral:rRNA from 1 species
GACGGAGGAUGCAAGUGUUAUCCGGAAUCACUGGGCGUAAAUCGUCUGUAGGUGGUUUAAAAAGUCUACUGUUAAAGCUUGAAGCUUAAACUUCAAAAAUGCCGUAGAAACUUUUAAACUUGAGUAUGGUAGGGGUAGAGGGAAUUUCCAGUGGAGCGGUGAAAUGCGUAGAUCUUGGAAAGACCACCAAUGGCGAAGGCACUCUACUGGGCCAUUACUGACACUAAGAGACGAAAGCUAGGGGAGCAAACAGG